UCUAUAAUUUAACUGUCAUUUGAAUUCUCAAAUAAGUUAUACAGAGAGACAAAUUUUUCUUCAUAUGAUUUAGUGGUGAACGGCAGUGGGAGCAGGCAGGGUGAUGAGCAGUAAAACUGGUAUUCUAACUGUUGUCUUCUUCCAAGGGUGUUUUAGUAAGUGCACAGAAAAGAGCUUUCAUUAUGCAUGCCACAGGCAGUCAGAGUGGUAAUAGUAGCUUGUAGGAUAUUUGUCCAAUUUUUUUAUUUUACCUUCAAGGUGUUGAUCUCUUUUUGCUUGAGCCAAAAGACGUGCUGUGGCGAGGGGGCUUUCAUCCAGGUUGAAGUAGUGAUACAAGUAUUUCAUCAUGCCAUGCUUCACUGCUGUUUGUCACAGCAUUAACAAGCUUGGCAGUACAGUUGCCGUCGGGCUGGAAGGGACCUUUUAUCCAUCCAAGGAUUCAGCCAUCCCAGUUUAUGUUGCUGUCAAAUCAUGCAUGGAUGUGUCUCUUCAUGUUGUUUGUAGGUAGUCUGAGUCACUUGACUCCACGGAGCCUGCAGACUGCUCUGUGGUCCUUUCUGAACUCACUCACUGUCACUGAUCUGGCAUUGACCCUCAGUUUAGUGUCCAGGUGGCUGCUGAGCACGCCUGUUGUGACUACAGUUUAAGUCUCGAUACGACACGACUGGCUUUGUGUCAGUUUACUGGCUCAGUGGAGUGAAACCAAACAGCUGAUAGUUGCACUCACAGGGAAGGGUUUAGGAACAUACAGUGCAUAUUUGGUAGCCAAAAAGUCUUAGGAAAUGUAUGCACAUAUGCUUUCAUAUGUACAUGUGCAGUAAAUACUGAAAAAAGAAACACACCCUAAUACACAUACAUAAAAGAAACAAACAGAAUUUAAUUAGCUUUAAGGGACCUUAUAUGUCACUGGCAUUGCCCAAAUUCUUCACGAUAAAAUUAAAUUUCAAGGACACUGUUUUCAUCUAUAUAGCUCAAGACAAGGGACAAACCUAAGAUUAUUGCAGCAGGGACUAAACAUCCCACAAGUAACGACCAUUUCCACUAAAAACUGCAACAAUAAGUCGAUUUAAAGCAGGGGUAGGCAGUUUUUUUUAUUUUUGGGCAUCACUGGACAACAAUUCCAUAAUAACCUUUCAGCAUGUUGUAAUUCAAGUGGUCUGGCAGAAUACUAGACUUCAGCACCUCCUCUUGGCUCUGUAUUCAGGCUUCAGAAAAUCCAGCCUAGGAUGGGAGAUUCAAGCCACUCGCGUGUCAUUUCAGAGAGCAGGCAUUCCUAUUGGCUGUUCUACAAAUGCAGAUGCACAUACAUGUCCCUUCAGAUGGUCUGAUUCAAUGGCGGAAAAUCCUGGAGAAAAAUUCGUUAUUCCAGCAUUGGCAAAAACUGCCUACACUGCAAAGCAACCCCAAAAAAAGGAUGCCAGACUUAUCAAAAAGAUCAAAAGACAGACUGACUACAAAAUUAAUAAAACGCGUAUUAAUAUAUAUCGGCGAAGUAUUUCAGAGAUGAAGAGAACUUUGCGAUCGCAUUGGCCUGAAGUUGGACUCCGAGAUUGCCGUUCUGCUUCCUGGACAGGUAAGCUGCUAACUUCAUUUUUCCUGUAAUAUCUAAAUGUGUUGUUUACCUCCGGUGCACAUCAGAAACUUCCUGAAACUUGGGCUCAUUGGGCUCAUGCAGGGCUGUGUGCAGUUAGACUCGCAGUGCGUUUAUGGCAGCAGCAGGUGAGCUAAGCGACAUGACUUCCUUUUUAUUUCUUGUAAUAAGGAUCAACCAGUCACAUCUAUGUAAACUAAAUCAAAAGCCUCCUGGUCUGCUGCCACUGUCUUGCUGUCACAAGCAUGAGAGCAGAAUUGAUUCAUGGUCUGUGAGUUAUAUGUUUUCAUGUCCACCAGUUUUUUUAGUAUCCACUAAUUAGACCCCAGGACUCUGGUUGUCGGUCAUCAGUUUGUGCGGCUUGUGUCGCUCCCUUUGAUUUAUACAAUGAUGUAGCCACGGUCAGGAGUAAGUUUUACUCCUUAUCAGAUGUCCUGCUAGUCAUAGAGAACACACAGAAUGAAAGUAAAAACAUAACAGCUGUGAAAUUGAAAGUUGUGUAGUGUUUGUAAAAGCAAAUGAUAGCAGGUCUGCUAUCUCUACUGUAGACGUGAUGUUUUAGCAUAUGCUAUAAACUAUGCUGUGUGUGUACUUACUACAGAGAUGAAGAAAUUCCUGUCAGGAAUUCAAGAAUUGGCAGAAGAUAUUGCACUGCAACAACUGGGUACAAGUCAUUGUAGACUGGUGUUUUGCACCAUGUCACCUGCCACCACAGACCAUUGCCAGAGAGCCACAGCAACAUCUGGACCGAGCAAGAUUGCACACAGGACCCAGAUCUAAGUUCUGCAUUUUUGGUACCACAAAGUCUGGAGCAAAUAGUCCGGGAGAUGGAGCUUUUAUACUGUCGAAGUUCUCAAGGACUGCAGUUCCAUGCCAGACCUGCUGGCAUGUAACCUUUUUUUGACACCACAAGUACCACACGAUAAUUUCCAGCAGUCAAUCAGAACAGCGGCUUUCCAUCAACCUGGCAAAUGAAAAGAACAGAUAUGGACAGUACUUUGACAGUAUAUGUUAUUUUAAAGUUUGACAUUUUACAGUUGGUGAUUGUUUCAAGUAGA